rnacentral:rRNA from 1 species
CCUACGGGGGGCAGCAGGCGCGCAAACUCUCCAAUGUGCGAAAGCGUGAGAGGGGAACUCCUAGUGCUUACGGUUUAUCCGUAGGCUUUUGCCAUGUGUAAAUAGCAUGGCGAAUAAGUGGUGGGUAAGACUGGUGCCAGCCGCCGCGGUAACACCAGCGCCACAAGUGGCCAUCGCGAUUAUUGGGCCUAAAGCGUUCGUAGUCGGUUCGGUGCAUCCUCUGUGAAAUUGCAGCGCUUAACGUUGCAGCAUGCGGAGGACACGACCGAGCUCGAGACCGGGAGGCGUUGAGGGUAUUCCAGGGGGACCGGUAAAAUGGUAUAAUCCCUGGAGGACCACCUGUGGCGAAGGCGCUCAACGAGAACGGAUCUGACGAUGAGGAACGAAAGCCAGGGGAGCAAACCGGAUUAGAUACCCCCGUAGUCC